rnacentral:rRNA from 1 species
UACAGAGGGGGCAAGCGUUAUUCGGAAUUAUUGGGCGUAAAGCGUCUGUAGGUGGUUUAGUAAGUCAACUGUUAAAUCUUGAAGCUCAACUUCAAAAUCGCAGUCGAAACUAUUAGACUAGAGUAUAGUAGGGGUAAAAGGAAUUUCCAGUGGAGCGGUGAAAUGCGUAGAGAUUGGAAAGAACACCGAUGGCGAAGGCACUUUACUGGGCUAUUACUGACACUCAGAGACGAAAGCUAGGGUAGCAAAUGGG